CCUCUGUCUACUCAAUCUAUACAAACCCAUUUAUUUUAAAGAAUGUAAUGGAUGUAACGCAUCUAUACUAAGUUUCAACAACGGAUCUCUUGGCUCUCGCAUCGAUGAAGAACGCAGCGAAAUGCGAUAAGUAAUGUGAAUUGCAGAAUUCAGUGAAUCAUCGAAUCUUUGAACGCACCUUGCGCUCCUUGGUAUUCCUUGGAGCAUGCCUGUUUGAGUAUCAUGAAAUCUUCAAAGUAAAUCUUUUGUUAACUCAAUUGGUUUCACUUUGGUAUUGGAGGUUUGCAGCUUCACACGUGCUCCUCUUUGUUCAUUAGCUGGAUCUCAGUGUUAUGCUUGGUUCCACUCGGCGUGAUAAAUUAUCUAUCGCUGAGGACACCCCAGGGGUGGCCAAGGUAAAUGCANAUNAACCGCUUCUAAUANUCCAUUGACUUGGACAAUAAUUUAUGAUCUGAUCUCAAAUCAGGUAGGACUACCCGCUGAACUUAAGCAUAUCAAUAA
rnacentral:rRNA from 1 species